AAAAAAACCAGAACACAUGUCUCUCUCUAUCAUCAAAUCUCUUCAUUGAUCGAUCCUUUUCGUUCACUCAUCAUCAAGAACCAUUGGCACGUUGCCAGUCCGUCAGAAUUACCGGCCAUAACAGGCGCUGAAGUCAGAGACAUUAGGCCAGCCAAAAAAGCAUGGGUUUGGCCUAUGCAAAAGUGUACCGUUUUGACGUCUCUCCAGUAAACUACACGUUCGAAGUCCAAGCCAUGAGCGCCGAGAAGCUCCCCCUGCUGUUUUCACCGUCGGCCUCCGAGUGGAAGACGAGGAAAGUCUUUUUCUUUAUGCUAAGUUGAUAUCUCCUCAUGAUAAGCCCUCUAACCACGUGAAUGAGCUUGUUCAGGGUAUUAUAGAGGGUGAGACCCGUGUCUUGGCUGCGUCCAUGACCAUGGAGGAAAUCUUUCAGGGCACCAAAGAGUUUAAGAGGGAGGUUUUUGAGAAGGUUCAGUUGGAGUUGAAUCAAUUUGGGUUGUUGAUUUAUAACGCUAAUGUUAAGCAGCUUGUUGACGUGCGUGGUCACGAGUACUUUUCUUAUUUGGGGCAAAAACCCAGAUGAAAGCUGCCAAUCAAGCCAAGGUUGAUGUUGCUGAGGCUAGGAUGAAGGGUGAAAUUGGAGCCAAGAUCCGGGAAGGCCAAACUGCACAAAAUGCUGCGAAAAUUGAUCCUGAAACAAUGAUUGUAUCAACACAAAGACAAGGAGAAGGCAGGAAGCAGGAAAUUAAGGUCAGUACUGAUGUCAAAAUUUUUGAGAACCAAAAGUAGGCUAAUCUAGCAGAGGCAAAUGCUGGGCUUGCAACCAAGAAGGCUGGGUGGGCUCAGGCAGCUAAGCUGGCUGAAGUGGAGGCUGCCAAAGCUGUGGCAAUGAGAGAAGCUGAGUUGCAGUCUGAAGUGGAAAAGAAGAAUGCCUUGGCUAAGACUGAGAAACUUAAGGCUGAGUUGCUGAGUCAGGCCAAUGUGGAGUACGAGACUAAGGUGCGAGAAGCAAACUGGGAAUUAUACAGGAAACAAAAAGAAGUAGAGGCAGUCCUCUACGAGAAGCAGAAGAAUGCAGAGGCACAGAAAGCUACU
rnacentral:misc_RNA from 1 species